rnacentral:rRNA from 1 species
GAUGAACGCUGGCGGCGUGCCUAAUACAUGCAAGUCGAGCGAACGGACGAGAAGCUUGCUUUUCUGAUGUUAGCGGCGGACGGGUGAGUAACACGUGGAUAACCUACCUAUAAGACUGGGAUAACUUCGGGAAACCGGAGCUAAUACCGGAUAAUAUUUUGAACCGCAUGGUUCAAAAGUGAAAGACGGUCCUGCUGUCACUUAUAGCUGGAUCCGCGCUGCAUUAGCUAGUUGGUAAGGUAACGGCUUACCAAGGCAACGAUGCAUAGCCGACCUGAGAGGGUGAUCGGCCACACUGGAACUGAGACACGGUCCAGACUCCUACGGGAGGCAGCAGUAGGGAAUCUUCCGCAAUGGGCGAAAGCCUGACGGAGCAACGCCGCGUGAGUGAUGAAGGUCUUCGGAUCGUAAAACUCUGUUAUUAGGGAAGAACAUAUGUGUAAGUAACUGUGCACAUCUUGACGGUACCUAAUCAGAAAGCCACGGCUAACUACGUG